rnacentral:lncRNA from 1 species
GUGGGGUUAGUUACAACUCUGUUCUACAGUUCAACCCCUGUAAUUGGGUUUAUAUCUCCAAGGCUUCUGAGGCAGAGCUGUGUACACUUAGUAACCGACCAGCGCUUGAGUGCAGAUAACAUUUCUGACAAGGAAGAACCUUAGGUUUUCCUAGGGAGAUGAAAUUGGGGGCCAUGUCGGGCUUAGGCAUCCUUAAAGUUGAUAUUAUUGGUGAUCUUUUUACCCCAUUACAGGAGAAGGUCGACAGGAAAGCAUCCAGCAACCCUGACCUUCAUCUCAACAGGGCGACGUUACAUAAAUAUGAAGAGAGUUAUGGGGAGGCCCUAGAGGGCUUCUCUCAGGCUGCCACGCUGGACCCUGCAUGGCCAGAGCCCCAACAACGAGAACAGCAGCUCCUGGAAUUCCUCAGUAGGCUGACCAACCUCCUGGCGAGCAAGGGGAAGACAAAACCCAAGAAGCUUCAGAGCAUGCUGGGAAACUUGCGCCCGGCCCAUCUGGGCCCUUGUGGCGACGGGCGCUACCAGUCAGCCACCGGGCAGAAGGUGACCCUGCAGCUCAAGCCACUGAGUACGCUGCAGCCUGGUGUGAACAGCGGCACCGUGGUCCUGGGAAAGGUGGUGUUCAGCCUGACCACAGAGGAGAAGGUCCCCUU